UACGUAGGGGGCAAGCGUUGUCCGGAUUUAUUGGGCGUAAAGAGCGUGUAGGCGGCCUGACAAGUCUGCUGUGAAAACUCGAGGCUCAACCUCGAGAUGUCGGCGGAAACUGUCUGGCUAGAGUCCGGAAGAGGAGAGUGGAAUUCCUGGUGUAGCGGUGAAAUUCGUAGAUAUUCGGAAGAACACCAGUGGCGAAGGCGGCUCACUGGCCCGGUACUGACGCUGAGAUGCGAAAGCGUGGGGAGCAAACAGG
rnacentral:rRNA from 1 species